rnacentral:lncRNA from 1 species
AAAAAUAUUAAUUUAAUAUUUUGAGUUUUUAUUUAAAUUUAAUUUAUUUUUUUUAUAAAUUGAAAAGCUAGGCCCUUAUCUAGGUCUAUUAUGUGUCGGCUUUGUAUUUUUAAGCCCUAAACUCAUAAUAAAUCAAAACCCUAAACACAUUCUAAAUCAUGCAUUAUGAUCUAUAACAAUCUAAAAUCAUGCCAAUAUAAACCCUAGAUAGAGUGAUUGGAAAUCUUGUGGGGAAUAAGGGGAGUAAACUUACCAAUCGCUUUGAUUCUCUCAUAAACAAAUGUUUGAAUCCUAGGGUUUGGGUUAAUCAUCUAAUUGACAAUUCUAAGGGUUUGCCAACUAAUAUUUACUGGUUUAUGAUUUCGUGCAUAGAGAGAUAUAUAUAUAGAGGAUGAGCCAAUGUCAUGAGAUUGAUAAAGUUCAAUGUGUUCAUAUAUCUAUUGCAAAUUGCAAAGUGGAAUGUGAGUUGUGAGAACACGUGAAAGAAAAGAGAAUUCGGAAAAGGGAAUAAAUAAUCAAUAAGAAAGAGGUCGAUUCCGGAAAAAUCAAAUGAUAAGUAAAUAAUAAUAAUAAUAAUAAUAAGGGAAUAGGUUUAGUUCAACAACCCGUUAAUGUAAUAGUCGAGGUGGUGCCUCAUUGCAAGUAUUUUUGUUUAACUUUUAAGAAUUUUGUAAUAAGAGUACAUUAGUCGUCAUGUAUUAUUUUUCUGCAGUAUUCUAACUUUUAUGUACCACGAAUCGCAUCCGUAUACAAUGUUAUGUUGAGUUUGCGUCAAUAAACGGGCAGUUGAUAACAAUAAUUAUUAAUUAAGUGAACCCCACACAAGAGACCAUGAAGAUUAGGACGCCAUAUAGAGUUGAAUUUGGUCAAUUUCUGAUGCACUCAAGUCUUUUCUUUACAGGCAUAGCAAAACACCAAAAUUUAAAUUUAAAAAAAAAAAAAAAAAAGCCCGUCAAUUGGCAUUUAUAUAUACGGGUAUUGCCAACUUUUAUCUUUUAUAUAUGAGAUAGGUUACAUAUAAUUAUUGUACCUCUUGUGUCUACCGUUCACCUUUUCUUUCUCUAUUUUUUUGUUUUUAAAAAACACCUCCACACUAUUUGCUCAUCUCUUCCUGCUAAUUGGUUUAUCCGACGCUCAAAAUAACACCACUACUACGACCGACCCUGCUGAAGGUAAACGUAUUCAUUUAAUUUCUUCCCAUUAAUUAAUUCUCUUGCUAGCUAGCUAUAGCCACCGCCCUGCCGUUUUCUUUUCUUUCUCUUUCUUUAUUUUGACAUAAAUUCAUUGUGUGUAUGUGUAGUAGCAUGAUUCUUUUAGAAAACAAUUAAUUAUAUAUUCAGAGUGAGCCGUAGAAAGUCAGACGACAUUAACAAUUAAUUUCUCUUUCUUUAACACCUCAAUUUAAAAUCAUCAUGGUAGAUGAUAAUUAAGCUUUUAGUGGAGUAAUAUAGAGUGAAUGCUAAUUAAGGAAGAAGACAUUAAUUAAUUGACAGAUAUUCAUCACUGUACUGUUAGGGAUGUCAGGUCUAUAACUUUUGUUUUUAAUAAAAAUACAUGUCUCAACAUGUUGUGUGAUGAUGAUGAUCGAACUGAUCUUAAUUUCAUUAACUAAGACUCCAUAAUGCUUUCAUUUUUAAAGCUCUUUUUUUUUUGUAUAUUAAAAAUAAUUCAAUUUAAAAUAUAUUAUGUGCUCGUACUUUGCCGGUUAUCAGGUGUGAGAAAGUAUAUUUUUCUUCCUCACUAUUGUUAUUUGUUAUCAUCAUCUCAACCAAUGAAAACUAUAUGAUUUUUGUUUAUGCACGUUAACUGUAAUGUGUCUAGAAAAAAGUGUAUUAGAGAUGUUUAUGUAGUAAUGCGUGAUAUUAAUUUGACAGAGUUUUUCCUUCUCUUUUUUUUUUUUGUGUCCCCUUUUUUCAUUGAUUUCUCAGCCUUUUAUAGGCCGUUAUCCCACUUUCUCAGAGUAUUUUUCAUGCCCGUCAUAUUCGGGUGAUUAAGGGCCUUAAUGGGUCUUCAACAACCGAACGUGGGUAAACGUGGGGCCUCGUGUUCUCCCCAGCGGUUUGGGGCAUGACGAAAUUGUCGUGUGUUGGUGAGAUCGUGUCCUCUUUCUUUGAGUGACAAGUACCUGGUCGGUAUUCGUUUUUAGUCGGCAUGUGCUCCAUAAAGGAUAUACUACCAAGAAUCUGCUCGUAUCAUUCAGCCGGAGAGAUUCAUCCCCAGGUAUGGAAUGGGGAGAUACCUACCUGGUAUUUUUUAUUACUAAAAGAGAAUUCGGAAAAGGGAAUAAAUAAUCAAUAAGAAAGAGGUCGAUUCCGGAAAAAUUAAUAAUAAUAAUAAUAAUAAUAAUAAUAAUAAUAAGGGAAUAGGUUUAGUUCAACAACCCGUUAAUGUAAUAGUUGAGGUGGUGCCUCAUUGCAAGUAUUUUUGUUUAACUUCUAAGAAUUUUGUAAUAAGAGUACAUUAGUCGUCAUGUAUUAUUUUUCUGCAGUAUUCUAACGUUUAUGUACCACGAAUCGCAUCCGUAUACAAUGUUAUGUUGAGUUUGCGUCAAUAAACGGGCAGUUGAUAACAACAAGAUUAGGACGCAAUGUACAUACACGAGAGUUGAAUUUGGUCAAUUUCUGAUGCACUCAAGUCUUUUCUUUACACGCAUAGCAAAACACCAAAAUUAAAAAAAAAAAAGCCCGUCAAUUGGCAUUUAUAUAUAUGGGUAUUUCCAAUAUGUACAUGAAAGGAUUCGUCCAGUUUGUCGAACUUUUAUCUUUUGUAUAUGAUAGCUUACAUAAAAUUAUUGUACCUCUUGUGUCUACCGUUCAACUUUUCUUUCUCUAUUUUUUGUUUUUAAAAACACCUCUUGCCACAGCUUUAAGAUGCAUUUUUUUUUUUUUAACCACUUCGUAAAAUGGACGAUGGGAAAAAAAAUAAAAAAACAAAUGUUGACCGACUCUGGCUAGCUUCCCCUUCUAUAUAUUCUUUAACUUCAACAAAACUAUGAGAGUAUAGAUUCAAUUAUUAGCGUUGAAUUCUCUUUAUCCUGGGUUUGUAAAUCGUAAUGAGAGAGAAGAUGAAUUUUGGAGUGAGAUCAGUGAAGCUGCUACUUUCUUCCUCGCUGGUACUUUCUUCGUACACACUAUUUGCUCAUCUCUUCCUGCUAAUUGGUUUAUCCGACGCUCAAAAUAACACCACUACUACGACCGACCCUGCGGAAGGUAUAUGUAUUCAUUUAAUUUCUUCCCAUUAAUUAAUUCUCUUGCUAGCUAGCUAUAGCCACCGCCCUGCCGUUUUCUUUUCUUUCUCUUUCUUUAUUUUGACAUAAAUUCAUUGUGUGUAUGUGUAGUAGCAUGAUUCUUUUAGAAAACAAUUAAUUAUAUAUUCAGAGUGAGCCGUAGAAAGUCAGACGACAUUAACAAUUAAUUUCUCUUUCUUUAACACCUCAAUUUAAAAUCAUCAUGGUAGAUGAUAAUUAAGCUUUUAGUGGAGUAAUAUAGAGUGAAUGCUAAUUAAGGAAGAAGACAUUAAUUAAUUGACAGAUAUUCAUCACUGUACUGUUAGGGAUGUCAGG